UGCAAAGUUAAAAUAGGCAAAGGUUUC
rnacentral:piRNA from 1 species